GCUAAUUUAUUAUAGCACUUCCACAAGUUUCAUAGACAGCUCUCGUCUUAAAACUCUUCAAGCUUGGAAAGAAAAAAUCAGAUAUAUCCCCUCCGUAUAAUAUUCUAUUUUUCGGCACUGACGCGUAUGCAUCCGCUUGUUUAAAAUACCUAAUAAAUGAUUUAAAAGGAAAGAAAAGGAUUGUUAGCAAUAUUGACGUCGUUUGCCUUACUGAUAAUCCUCAUUUAAAAAAAAAUACUGAAGGCAGACAGCCCGUAAAAGAACUUGCACUAGAAGAAAAUCUUAAAGUUUUUGAAGUACCCAAAGAUGGUUUUAAGCAGUGCAUGUCUAAUUCAUCUGAUUACGGCGAUUCUCACUUUAAGGAUUCUUACACUCAAACCUAUACUGAUAAAAAUUCCAACCAUACAAUUAAACAAGAAGAAAAUUUAAUAAAUUUUAGUUUAAGGAAUCAAUCAGACGAAUGCGUAAAAAAAAAUAAGAAUUGUUAUAAUAUUAUUGAUUUAUACAGCAAAUUUCGGGAUUCUUUAAAUUCUUCAUCUUACCACUAUUCUUAUGAUCUUAUUAUUGUUGUUUCUUUUGGUCAUUACAUUCCCGCUGGUAUUAUUGAUUCCGCUCGGUUAGCGUUAAACGUACAUCCUUCGGUCUUACCUCAAUAUCGAGGAUCUUCCCCCAUCUAUUAUUCUAUAUUAAACGGAGACAAGCGUACUGGAGUUAGUGUAGUGGAGUUAUCUAAAGGGAAGAUGGACACCGGAAAAAUUUUGUUGCAGGAAAAAGUUUUAAUUGCGGGUACUGAAAAUUAUCAACAACUGCACGACAAACUCGCUACACUUGGAAGUUUAGUUCUUGGCCGCGUGCUUCGCAACGUUAAGGAUCACGUACUGAACGCAGAAGAGCAAACAGACGAUAAUAACAUUGUCUACGCUAGAAAGAUUACUAAAUCGGAUGCUAAAGUUAAUUGGAUUAUUGAUUCUUGUGCCAUCAUCGACAGAAAGUACAGAGCUUUGACGCACAAAAUCCGCCUUCAUACUGAAUUUAAUGGGGAAAAUAUAAAAUUAGUAGAGAUGGGCGCUCCUUUGCAACACGUUAAUACUUAAUAAUAGAGCUCUAAAGUUGUUCCUGGCCAAGUUGUUUACUAUCAUAAAAUGAUUUGUGUGCGCUGUAAGGAUGGAUGGGUUCCUUUCAAGUACAUCAUCAUUCCGGAUGGCCGCCCGCCGAUGAGCUCAAGACAGUUCUAUUUGGCUUACUUGAAGCGCAAUCCGUCUGCUGUGGUUUUCAAGUAAUUCAUUUUCUUUUAUCAUAAAUAAUUUGAUGAAUG